AAGAAUAUUUAUUAUACAUGUACUGUUAUAUAAAGAUUAUAUAUAUAUGAUUAAACAUGUGAACAUUAAAUGGACUUCGUUAUAUAGACAGUACUAAAUGAGCUUACGGAGAAACUUUACAAUAACUAGUUCCCUAUGUAACGGGCAACAUGGAUUACGAUCCCGGACACGUAGAUCCGAAAUAAUGACAUAGUUCUAAAACCAC
rnacentral:lncRNA from 1 species